rnacentral:rRNA from 1 species
AGUUCGAUUCACAAACCAGAUUGAACGCUGGCGGGAUGCUUUACAUGCAGGUGAACGCGCCGGAACUGCGGUCUGGUGGCGAGUGGCGAACAGGUGAGUAAUGUAUGGAACGUGCCUAGUAGCGAGAUAAACACGCGAAAGCGUAAUGGCUCUACGCCAUACAGCAGGAAAGCGGGGGACCUUCGGGCCUCGCACUAUUAGAGCGGCCGAUAUCGGAUUAGCUUCUAGUUGGUGGGGUAACGGCUCACCAAGGCGACAGUCAGCAGCUGGUUUGAGAGGACGACCAACCAGCCACACUGGGACUGGCCCAGACUCCUACGGGGAGGCAGCAGUGGGGAAUUUUGGACAAUGGGGGAAACCCUGAUCCAGCCAUCCCGCGUGUGCGAUGAGCCUUCGGGUUGUAAGGCACUUUUGGCAGGAAAGAAACGGCACGGGAUAAUACUGAUACAGCAAAUGAAAAUACCUUACCAGAAUAAGCACCGGCUAACUACGAUAGCAGCCGCGGUAAUACGUAGGGUGCAAGCGUUAAUCGGAAUUACUGGGCGUAAAGCGUGCGCAGGCGGUUCGGAAAGAAAAGAUGUGUGAAAUCCCAGAGCUUAACUUUGAACUGCAUUUUAACUACCAAAGGCUAGGUGUGUCAGAGGGAGGUGGAAUUCCGCGCGAUGUGGCAACGGUGAAAUGCGUAGAUAUGCGGAGGAACACCGAUGGCGAAGGCAGCCUCCUGGAGAUAACACCUGACACUCACUGGCAAUGGGGAGCAAACAGGAUUAGAUACCUGAUAGUCCACGCCUAAACGAUGUCAACUAGCUGUUGGGGCCUUCAGGCCUUGGUAGCGCAGCUAACGUGAGACAAGCCGCCUAGAAUUACGGUCGCAAGAUUAAAACUCCAAGGAAUUGACGGGGACCCGCACAAGCGAAUUGGAUGAUGUGGAUUAAUUCGAUGCAACGCGAAAAACCUUACCUACGUGACAUGUCUGGAAUCCCGAAGAGAUUUAAGUGCUCGCAAGAGAACCGGAACACAGGUGCUGCAUGGCUGUCGUCAGCUCGUGUCGUGAGAUGUUGGGUUAAGUCCCGCAGGCGCAACCCUUGUCUUAGUUGCUACGAAAGGGCACUCUAAUGGGGCUACCGGUGACAAACCGGAGAAGGUGGGGAUGACGUCAAGUCCUCAUGGCCCUUAUGGGUAGGACUACGUCAUACAAUGGUCGGGACGGUCGCCAACCCGCGAGGGGGGAGCCAAUCCCAGAAACCCGAUCGUAGUCCGGAUCAUGAUCUGCAACUCGACUGCGUGAAGUCGGAAUCCUUAAUCGCGGAUCAGCAUGUCGCGGUGAAUACGUUCCCGGGUCUUGUACACACCGCCCGUCCGCAUGGGAGUGGGUUUUGCAGAAGUAGUGUAGCCUAACGUAAGGAGGGCGAUUACCACGGUAGGAUUCAUGACUGGGGUGGAAGUGUGGCUAGGUAG